UACAGAGGUCCCAAGCGUUGUUCGGAUUCAUUGGGCGUAAAGGGCGCGUAGGCGGCCUUCUAAGUCGAACGUGAAAUCCCCGGGCUCAACCCGGGAACUGCGUCCGAUACUGGAAGGCUUGAAUCCGGGAGAGGGAUGUGGAAUUCCAGGUGUAGCGGUGAAAUGCGUAGAUAUCUGGAGGAACACCGGUGGCGAAGGCGGCAUCCUGGACCGGUAUUGACGCUGAGGCGCGAAAGCCAGGGGAGCAAACGGG
rnacentral:rRNA from 1 species